UGGGGUUUUAGCUCAGUGGAAGAGUACUUGCCUAGCAUGUAAGAGAUACGGGGUUCGAUUCUCAGCACCACAU
rnacentral:tRNA from 1 species